rnacentral:rRNA from 2 species
CCUGAGAAACCCAAAAGAUCGAAUGGGGAGAUUCAUCGUCAGCACUUUUGGUAUAUGUUCGAGUUGCGAUGUGAAUUAUCCUUGUGGUAAUUUUUGCACGUACUUGAGCAUUUUCUGCUGAAUGUUGUCGGCGUGCACUUCUCCCCUAGUAGGACGUCGAGACCCGUUGAGUGUUGAUCUACGAGCCAGAUGGUAGUCUUUGAUGUCAUUGCAAAAUGWUACAUUGGAGACCACUGGUYUCUUCUGAUCGGCUGCUUGACGGUACUCGUACGGUAUUAAGUCGCAACACUAAUUUGUGUGCGUCACACCCACCGCAAGCUUGAUUAGUUUUUUCGGUAGUCACGGACCUAGUCGCCGUCGCUGAAGCUCGUCAGCUGUUGGUCGUGUGGUGUUCUAUGACUGGCUAUAUAUAAUACCGGUCAGCGAUGCUACUGCUUUGGGUACUUUCAGGACCCGUCUUGAAACACGGACCAAGGAGUCUAACAUGUACGCGAGUCAUUGGGAUAAUUUUUACAAUGUAAACCUAAAGGCGUAAUGAAAGUAAAGGUCGGCCUUGUGCCGAUUAAGGGAGGAUGAGUUGUAUUCCUUAAAACAAUGCAACGCCGCACUCCCGGGGCGUCUCAAUCUCAUUGCGAGAUGAGGCGCACCUAG